rnacentral:lncRNA from 1 species
GGAGACCUACUUAUGGCAUCCCAUGGAUUAUGCGGCAUGUAUCCGCAUCAUUUGUUCUGUGUAAUAGAAUUAUUUUAAAAGAAAAAUCUCGAAGAGCUAUCCUGUUGGUAUUUCAUGGCUGGACUUCCAGUGCUCCAUCCGUACCCAGUGCGGGGCCCGCCCGUCGCCUGCGUAGCUUCGCAAAAUUUCGCAAACAUUCCUCGUUCACCGGCAGGCGCCCUAAGUGCUACAAAGGUCGUAACACAUCCAGCUUCAGAAAAAUAGCAUGUAGACGUGUUGUUGGACUGCCACUGAACAAAAUCUUAAACAAACGGACCUUCGUCCAACUCUCGACCAUCAGAAACUGUCAUGUCGCGAAGGCGCUUGUCUCAAUAACCACUUGUUAGCACGUGUCAUUAGCUCACUGUUAAUAAAUCAUUCUCAUUUCGCUUCCUACCACCUUUCAACUAUACCACGUCUGCCACCGCCGCGGCCAUGGAGCCAGCAGUGGAAUUAUUUACCCGCUUAUUUACGGCCGCGCUGGCAGCGAUUACGAAUUGGCGACAGAAUCAGAAUGUGGCGAAGAUGCUCGUCUUCAAGCUUGCCUGCUUCAUUGCCUCCCUUCCUUCACAUCCACGGGUGAAACUCGUCUUCCAAGGGCAUCACGGUCUGGCACCAGUCGAUGCGUCCCCAACAAGCAUAUAUGAUAUGGAAUUCAAAGAUGGCAACGGCAAAGUAAGGACGCUGCUCGUCUUUUUGCUGUCAUGAAGCCCGUGACGGGAGACACCUUCCAGGCCUCCUCAAUCACAGCUUCCUGUGAGGGAAGAUUCAACCCGCGGAUCUCGUUGAGGACGUACAAUCUGCCGCCGUCG